CAUCAACCGCAUGACCAACGAGGCCCUGCACACCACAUACCCACUACCAUACCACGAUCAAAUCCACCACAUACCCACUACCAUAUCCCAUACCCCCUACCAGAUGCUUUCGGAAGUGGUGUUGGAGGACCAAUAGGAGCCUCUCUUUCCUCUGGUUUAAAAAACGAUAUCCAAAUUCCCCAGGGCAGUGAUUGGGGACAUUGCCCUGUGUAGGAUGCCGUCUUUCCGAUGGGACAUAUGUGGUCACUAAAGAUCCCAUGGCACUUAUCGUAAGAGUAGGGGUGUUAACCCCGGUGUCCUGUCUAAAAUCCCAAUCUGGCCCUCAUACCAUCACAGUCACCUAAUCAUCCCCAGUUUACAGUUGGCUAAUUCAUCCCCCCUCCUCUCCCCUGUAACUAUUCCCCAGGUCGUUGCCUCCUCUCCCCUGUAACUAUUCCCCAGGUCGUUGCCUCCUCUCCCCUGUAACUAUUCCCCAGGUCGUUGCCUCCUCUCCCCUGUAACUAUUCCCCAGGUCGUUGCCUCCUCUCCCCUGUAACUAUUCCCCAGGUCGUUGUCUCCUCUCCCCUGUAACUAUUCCCCAGGUCGUUGCCUCCUCUCCCCUGUAACUAUUCCCCAGGUCGUUGCCUCCUCUCCCCUGUAACUAUUCCCCAGGUCGUUGCCUCCUCUCCCCUGUAACUAUUCCCCAGGUCGUUGCCUCCUCUCCCCAGUAACUAUUCCCCAGGUCGUUGCCUCCUCUCCCCUGUAACUAUUCCCCAGGUCGUUGCUGUAAAUGAGAAUGUUUCUCAGUCAACUGAACUGGUAAAAUAAGGGUUAAAUGAAACACUCUUUAUGUAAAUUAAUUAUUCAAAUGUGUUUAUUUUUCUGUUUGUCCCCCUCUCUUCUGUCUAGGUUCCUCUCUGCAGGUGUUGGCUGACAGCGACCGGAGUACCUGGAUCAUACUAUGAGGGACAACAGAGGGGUGUCCUGACACCAGAGGCUGGGACUGUCACACACACCCAUCCACACAUACAGCAAGCCUGUUUAGCUGCUACAGUAACAGUCAUAGGAUCCCUCUCAAAUGGCACCCUAUUCCCUCCUAUUCCACCCUAUUCCCUCCUAUUCCACCCUAUUCCCUCCUAUUCCACCCUAUUCCACCCUAUUCCCUCCUAUUCCACCCUAUUCCCUCCUAUUCCACCCUAUUCCCUCCUAUUCCCUCCUAUUCCCUGUUCCACAUGUGGUGCACUACGUUUCCAUUAUGCCUGUGGUGAGAAGUGGUGCUCUAUAUAGGACUCCACUCUGGACCUGGGACACCAGUUCCACUGUUCCCCUCUAAUCAGGGACUGAUUUAGACCUGGGACACCAGGUGGGUGUGCAAUUAAUGAUCAGGUAGACCAGAAAGCAGGCUCGGGACCUAGGGUCAGAGUUGAAAACCCCUGAUUUAGGGAAUAGGGUGCCAUGUUGUCAUGACUCAGUUACGACAUGUCGCCAACGUGAAUCUGUGUGUGAUGUUGUAGGAUGGAAGAAACGAGGCGUUCUGUUUUUGUUUGACGAUAUAAUGUAACAUAAUUUGCACCCAUGGAUCCAGAGCUGGAUUGAACAAAGAUGAUUUUACUGUGGGUUUUUAGUUUGGUUUGUUUGAUGUAAUUUUCCGUUUUAUGACUGUGUGUGAGAGAUGUUGUGUGGUCCUCAUGCCUCUGAUUCUGCUGCUGUUCUCGCAACCUAAAGGCCACUCCAGCUUUGUCCAGGUCUGUCUGACUGCAAUAGGGCCUACACAUGAACCGGAACCAAUCCUGUUAUUUGUCGCUCUGGAGGGACUGACGUUCCCCCUAGGUACAGAUCUAGGAUCAGCUUCCCCUCCCCCAAUCCUAACCUUAACCAUUAGUGGGGGGAAAUGUUAAACUGACCGCAGAUCAGUGUCUAAGGGCAACUUCACCAUCAUGUCUCUCAUUUUACCAUCGACAGAUUUCUUCUUGGUUGAGUCCAAAAUGGCUCCUAUGUAGUGCACUACGUUUUGUCCAGAGCCUCAUAAGCUCUCAUAGGGCUUUGGUCAAAAGUAGUGCACUACAUAGGGAAUAGGUUUCAGUUCAGAUUAUCCCCUUUAUAAAUGUAUUUGUAUGUGAUGGAGUUAACUUUCCCAGAUUUACUGCCUAGUCCUUCAUCCCGGAAAGUUACAACCCUAGAUGGAGCAGAGGCUUAUGGGAAAUGGAGUUUAAGCAAGCCUGUCAUUAUCUGGCUGUAUUUUAAGAUUGGAAGGAGAGAGCAUGGUUCACUUGAUUAUUUUUUGAUAAAAAUAAAUUGAAAGAUUCACCUUG